GCGCACCAGGCGAGAAUACUUUACAAUGUGCGAAAGCACGAUAAGGGAACUCUGAGUGCCUCCUAAGGAGGCUGUUCAGGUGUCUAAAAGCACCUGAAGGAAGGGCUGGGUAAGACCGGUGCCAGCCGCCGCGGUAACACCGGCAGCCCAAGUGGUAGCCACGUUUAUUGGGUCUAAAGCGUCCGUAGCCGGCUGGGUAAGUUCCUUGGGAAAUUUGGCUGCUUAACAGUCAAGCUUUCAGGGAAUACUGCUCGGCUUGGGACCGGGAGAGGUCAGAGGUACUCCAGGGGUAGGGGUGAAAUCCAUUAAUCCUUGGGGGACCACCGGUAGCGAAGGCGUCUGACCAGACCGGGUCCGACGGUGAGGGACGAAGGCUAGGGGCGCGAACCGGAUUAGAUACCCGUGUAGU
rnacentral:rRNA from 1 species